rnacentral:rRNA from 1 species
CCUACGGGUGGCAGCAGUGCGGAAUAUUGGUCAAUGGACGAGAGUCUGAACCAGCCAAGUAGCGUGAAGGAUGACUGCCCUCUGGGUUGUAAACUUCUUUUAUAUGGUAAUAAAAUGUUCCACGUGUGGGAUUUUGUAUGUACCAUAUGAAUAAGGAUCGGCUAACUCCGUGCCAGCAGCCGCGGUAAUACGGAGGAUCCGAGCGUUAUCCGGAUUUAUUGGGUUUAAUGGGAGCGUAGGUGGAUUGUUAAGUCAGUUGUGAAAGUUUGCGGCUCAACCGUAAAAUUGCAGUUGAAACUGGCAGUCUUGAGUACAGUAGAGGUGGGCGGAAUUCGUGGUGUAGCGGUGAAAUGCUUAGAUAUCACGAAGAACUCCGAUUGCGAAGGCAGUUCACUGGACUGCAACUGACACUGAGGCUCGAAAGUGUGGGUAUCAAACAGGAUUAGAUACCCCUGUAGUC